GCAUAUUGUAUAUUAUUAAACAGCAGAAAAACUAUUUUGAAAUUAACACUGUUCUUGGUUGUAACUUCAACAGCACAUAUGCAGGAAUGUCCUGUCUGCACAAAAAUGUUUCCUACUGACUUUAUUGAGGUACACGCUUCUUCAUGUGUGGAAAGGUAUCCAUUUACUUUGUAUUGUUAAUGUUUUUUCUCUUGUCAGGAAUUCCUACACUAUCAGUUAAACACAGAAAUAUUUGUAUUUGGGUAGGGCAGGAAAAGAGGUGAUGCAUGAAAGCAUUGUAAUUGAGGAAGAGCAAGCAGCAAUGCCUGGACCAUCCGGAACUUGUGCAACUGCUACAGAUGGCUGGUUAACUAUCAGUGACCCCACCAAGGCCAUAUCUCAGUGUGCUGACAGUUUUCUCCGUAUUCAUGAAACGAAGAGCCCCUUACUUCUCAGCAUGGACAUCAGAAAAAGUCCUGCUGAACAGGACAUGGCCUUAAUCUCCUUCUACAAGCGAACUAAUGUGGAAUGGGGACGGCCUCUGAAUUGCAAACUUGAAGGAGAUUGUGCUAUUGGACAGGGUGUAACUCGCUUCUUUUUCUCAAAAUGCAUGGAAAAACUGAAGUCAGGGUUUUGCAUCAAUUUUGCAAACUCAAAUGUUACACGGCUUUUUGAAGGAGAGCCUGGUCAUUUAGUCCCCUCAGCCUCUCACUUUCUUGUGGAAAGUGAUAUGUUCAUGGUGGCGGGGAGAAUGGUAGGCCACUCCUUUCUUCAUGGAGGACCAUGCCUGUUGGGGCUCAGCCCUGCUGUUGUUCAUGUCCUGCUUGGUGGGAGUCCUGAAACUGCAACUGUUACACUAUAGGACUGUCCAGACCUGGACAUCAGAGAAACAAUCGAUCUUCUUGAUGGGGGAUCCAUACUGUCAGAUAAGGAUAAACAGCGUGUCCAGGACCUGGCCCAUGCCUGGGACCUCCCUUGC